rnacentral:rRNA from 1 species
GGAUUAGAUACCCUGGUAGUCCACGCCGUAAACGAUGGGCACUAGGCAGGCGAGGUUCCGAUGCCUUGCUUGCUGCAGCUAAUGUAUUAAGUGCCCCGCCUGGGGAGUACAGUCGCAAGGCCGAAACUCAAAGGAAUUGACGGGGGCUCACACAAGCGGUGGAGCAUGUGGUUUAAUUCGAAACAACGCGCAAAACCUUACCUGGGUUUGACAUGCACGGAUUAGUCGCUGGAAACAGUGGUGACGCUCGCAAGAGUGGAACGUGCACAGGUGCUGCAUGGCUGUCGUCAGCUCGUGCCG